UACGGGAGUGGCAAGCGUUAUCCGGAAUUAUUGGGCGUAAAGCGUCCGCAGGCGGCAUUGUAAAUCUGUCGAUAAAGCGUGGAGCUCAACUCCAUUUCAGCGAUGGAAUCUAUAAGGCUUGAGUGUGGUAGGGGCAGAGGGAAGUCCCGGUGUAGCGGUGAAAUGCGUAGAUAUCGGGAAGAACACCAGUGGCGAAGGCGAUCUGCUGGGCCAUAACUGACGCGCAUGGACGAAAGCCAGGGGAGCGAAAGGG
rnacentral:rRNA from 1 species